UACGUAGGUGGCAAGCGUUGUCCGGAAUUAUUGGGCGUAAAGCGCGCGCAGGCGGUUCCUUAAGUCUGAUGUGAAAGCCCCCGGCUCAACCGGGGAGGGUCAUUGGAAACUGGGAGACUUGAGUGCAGAAGAGGAUAGUGGAAUUCCAAGUGUAGCGGUGAAAUGCGUAGAGAUUUGGAGGAACACCAGUGGCGAAGGCGACUAUCUGGUCUGUAACUGACACUGAGGCGCGAAAGCGUGGGGAGCAAACAGG
rnacentral:rRNA from 1 species